CCCACUUGGAGCCGAACCCAGAAGGACAUUUCUUUCAUCACAGAAAACAAACAUACAGACCUCUAUACGGAUUUAUGAGAAACAGGUGCACCAGGAUGGUGUACAAAAUUCCAGUUACGUUGUGAUUCACACGAUGGACAAGGAUCACUACAUGCUGAGCAAAGAGUUCUGAGGGACUUUGCUAAGACCAGGCUGACUAGAUGGGAUGGAAAAUGAAACGGAAGUCCUGUUUCUUUUUAUUGCGAUGCAACAAGUCACAACACGAUUUGCUCUCCUGUGCCAAAAUCCCAGGGUAACUUCUAAACAGGCGUUGUCUUCUAGACUUUGUUUUGGAACCAUGGCAACUUUAAGAUGUGUGAAUAUCAACUCCUGGAAUUCCCCAGCCAGUGGGAAUUUCCAAAUAUGCUGCUCAGCUUCAAAGAUGA